rnacentral:rRNA from 1 species
CGAACGAGACUUUUUAUUUGAUGCUUGCAUCUUUUAAAAAGUUGAGUGGCGAACGGGUGAGUAACACGUGGGUAACCUACCUUAAAGUGGGGGAUAACACUUGGAAACAGGUGCUAAUACCGCAUAACCAUCAAAACCGCCUGGUUUUGAUGUUAAAGAUGGUUCUGCUAUCGCUUUAAGAUGGAUCCGCGGCGUAUUAGCUAGUUGGUGAGGUAACGGCUUACCAAGGCAAUGAUACGUAGCCGAACUGAGAGGUUGAUCGGCCACAUUGGGACUGAGACACGGCCCAAACUCCUACGGGAGGCAGCAGUAGGGAAUCUUCCACAAUGGACGAAAGUCUGAUGGAGCAACGCCGCGUGAGUGAAGAAGGUUUUCGGAUCGUAAAACUCUGUUGUCAGAGAAGAACGUGUGUGAGAGUAACUGUUCACGCAGUGACGGUAUCUGACCAGAAAGCCACGGCUAACUACGUGCCAGCAGCCGCGGUAAUACGUAGGUGGCAAGCGUUAUCCGGAUUUAUUGGGCGUAAAGCGAGUGCAGGCGGUUUUUUAAGUCUGAUGUGAAAGCCCUCGGCUUAACCGAGGAAGCGCAUCGGAAACUGGGAAACUUGAGUGCAGAAGAGGACAGUGGAACUCCAUGUGUAGCGGUGAAAUGCGUAGAUAUAUGGAAGAACACCAGUGGCGAAGGCGGCUGUCUGGUCUGUAACUGACGCUGAGGCUCGAAAGCAUGGGUAGCGAACAGGAUUAGAUACCCUGGUAGUCCAUGCCGUAAACGAUGAAUGCUAGGUGUUGGAGGGUU